UGAGGAAUAUUGGACAAUGGGCGAAAGCCUGACAGAGCAAUACCGCGUGAGGGAUGAAGGCCUAUGGGUUGUAAACCUCUUUUCUCAAGGAGGAAGAUAUGACGUUACUUGAGGAAUAAGCAUCGGCUAACCCUGUGCCAGCAGCCGCGGUAAUACAGGGGAUGCAAGUGUUAUCCGGAAUCAUUGGGCGUAAAGCGUCUGCAGGUUGACUUUUAAGUCUUUUGUUAAAGCUCUGGGCUUAACCUAGAAUAUGCAAAGGAAACUAUUUGUCUUGAGUAUGGUAGAGGUAAAGGGAAUUUCCAGUGGAGCGGUGAAAUGCUUAGAUAUUGGAAAGAACACCAACAGCGAAGGCACUUUACUGGGCCAGUACUGACACUGAGAGACGAAAGCUAGGGGAGCAAACGGGAUUAGAUACCCUCGUAGUCCCUGAGCGGGCUGGCAAGGCGCAU
rnacentral:rRNA from 1 species